AUUAAACGCUGGCGGCAUGCCUUACACAUGCAAGUCGAACGGUAACAGGUCUUCGGACGCUGACGAGUGGCGAACGGGUGAGUAAUGCAUCGGAACGUGCCCAGUCGUGGGGGAUAACUGCUCGAAAGAGCAGCUAAUACCGCAUACGACCUGAGGGUGAAAGCGGGGGACCGUAAGGCCUCGCGCGAUUGGAGCGGCCGAUGUCAGAUUAGCUAGUUGGUGGGGUAAAGGCCUACCAAGGCAACGAUCUGUAGUUGGUCUGAGAGGACGACCAGCCACACUGGGACUGAGACACGGCCCAGACUCCUACGGGAGGCAGCAGUGGGGAAUUUUGGACAAUGGGCGCAAGCCUGAUCCAGCAAUGCCGCGUGCAGGAAGAAGGCCUUCGGGUUGUAAACUGCUUUUGUCAGGGAAGAAAUCUUCUGGGCUAAUACCCCGGGAGGAUGACGGUACCUGAAGAAUAAGCACCGGCUAACUACGUG
rnacentral:rRNA from 1 species